CUGAACUAUUCUACCCUUGUAGCAUUUCCCAAGUCAAUGUCUUACACUUGACUAGCCUAAAUAAAUAACACCUGCCACAGUCAGCAAAGUAGGAAGGAGUGGAGGCAUGUGUGGAUAAGGAGACCUUCUGAAAGGGCUUGAUUGGAAGACACUGAAGAAUAGGUAGAAAAUGAAGGGAGAUGAAAGAUGAAGAGGCUAUGGUCAAAUAAAGCAGAUUCAUGGCCACUUCAUGAACUCUGUUCCUACCCACUGCUUCUGCUCAGAGGUUGGAGAGAAGAAAACCAGUAAAGCUAACCUUUAAGACAAAGUUUAUGCAGAUCUUGAAAACAAAUCGGCUAGGGCUUCCAAAGUCCUCUUGUGAGAGCAAUCUAGGGACAGACAUGGAAACAGCUGGAACACUUGAUACCAGCCAAGAGACUGAUUGUGUCAGUUACUGAGAUUCUGAAGGAACUCAGUAGGUCUGCCCUUAAUUCCACACAGUUCCCUGUGAU